rnacentral:rRNA from 1 species
GCAAGUCGAGCGGGGGCUUGUUGGUAGCAAUAUUGACAAGUUCUAGCGGCGAAAGGGUGCGUAACACGUGGGUAAUCUACCGUGAAGACUGGGAUAACCUACCGAAAGGUAAGCUAAUACCGGAUGUGACUCCGGGGGGGAAUCCUCCUGGAAUGGAAGCUGGGGAUCCUUCGGGACCUGGCGCUUUACGAUGAGCCCGCGGCCUAUCAGCUUGUUGGCGGGGUAAAAGCCCACCAAGGCUAAGACGGGUAGCUGGUCUGAGAGGACGAUC